rnacentral:siRNA from 1 species
GGCCCAUUAGCUCAGUUGGUUA